UGGAUGAUGUGGUUAAUUCGAUGCAACGCGAAAACCUUACCCACCUUUGACAUGUACGGAACCCUUUAGAGAUAGAGGGGUGCUCGAAAGAGAGCCGUAACACAGGUGCUGCAUGGCUGUCGUCAGCUCGUGUCGUGAGAUGUUGGGUUAAGUCCCGCAACGAGCGCAACCCUUGUCAUUAGUUGCUACAUUCAGUUGGGCACUCUAAUGAGACUGCCGGUGACAAGCCGGAGGAAGGUGGGGAUGACGUCAAGUCCUCAUGGCCCUUAUAGGUGGGGCUACACACGUCAUACAAUGGCUGGUACAAAGGGUUGCCAACCCGCGAGGGGGAGCCAAUCCCAUAAAGCCAGUCGUAGUCCGGAUCGUAGUCUGCAACUCGACUACGUGAAGUCGGAAUCGCUAGUAAUCGUGGAUCAGAAUGUCACGGUGAAUACGUUCCCGGGUCUU
rnacentral:rRNA from 1 species